rnacentral:rRNA from 1 species
AUUGAACGCUGGCGGCAGGCCUAACACAUGCAAGUCGAGCGGAUGAAGGGAGCUUGCUCCUGGAUUCAGCGGCGGACGGGUGAGUAAUGCCUAGGAAUCUGCCUGGUAGUGGGGGAUAACGUCCGGAAACGGGCGCUAAUACCGCAUACGUCCUGAGGGAGAAAGUGGGGGAUCUUCGGACCUCACGCUAUCAGAUGAGCCUAGGUCGGAUUAGCUAGUUGGUGGGGUAAAGGCCUACCAAGGCGACGAUCCGUAACUGGUCUGAGAGGAUGAUCAGUCACACUGGAACUGAGGCACGGUCCAGACUCCUACGGGAGGCAGCAGUGGGGAAUAUUGGACAAUGGGCGAAAGCCUGAUCCAGCCAUGCCGCGUGUGUGAAGAAGGUCUUCGGAUUGUAAAGCACUUUAAGUUGGGAGGAAGGGCAGUAAGUUAAUACCUUGCUGUUUUGACAUUACCAACAGAAUAAGCACCGGCUAACUUCGUG